GAUGAACGCUGGCGGCGUGCUUAACACAUGCAAGUCGAACGGUGAAGGCGGAGCUUGCUCUGCUGGAUCAGUGGCGAACGGGUGAGUAACACGUGAGCAAUCUGCCCCUGACUCUGGGAUAAGCGCUGGAAACGGCGUCUAAUACUGGAUACGAGCUGCCAAGGCAUCUUCAGCAGCUGGAAAGAACUUCGGUCAGGGAUGAGCUCGCGGCCUAUCAGCUUGUUGGUGAGGUAACGGCUCACCAAGGCGUCGACGGGUAGCCGGCCUGAGAGGGUGACCGGCCACACUGGGACUGAGACACGGCCCAGACUCCUACGGGAGGCAGAAGUGGGGAAUAUUGCACAAUGGGCGAAAGCCUGAUGCAGCAACGCCGCGUGAGGGACGACGGCCUUCGGGUUGUAAACCUCUUUUAGCAGGGAAGAAGCGAAAGUGACGGUACCUGCAGAAAAAGCGCCGGCUAACUACGUG
rnacentral:rRNA from 1 species